rnacentral:rRNA from 1 species
AUUGAACGCUGGCGGCAGGCCUAACACAUGCAAGUCGAGCGGAUGACGGGAGCUUGCUCCUUGAUUCAGCGGCGGACGGGUGAGUAAUGCCUAGGAAUCUGCCUGGUAGUGGGGGACGACGUUUCGAAAGGAACGCUAAUACCGCAUACGUCCUACGGGAGAAAGCAGGGGACCUGCGGGCCUUGCGCUAUCAGAUGAGCCUAGGUCGGAUUAGCUAGUUGGUGAGGUAAUGGCUCACCAAGGCGACGAUCCGUAACUGGUCUGAGAGGAUGAUCAGUCACACUGGAACUGAGACACGGUCCAGACUCCUACGGGAGGCAGCAGUGGGGAAUAUUGGACAAUGGGCGAAAGCCUGAUCCAGCCAUGCCGCGUGUGUGAAGAAGGUCUUCGGAUUGUAAAGCACUUUAAGUUGGGAGGAAGGGCAGUAAGCUAAUACCUUGCUGUUUUGACGUUACCGACAGAAUAAGCACCGGCUAACUCUGUGCCAGCCGCCGCAGUAA